UAGUCCACGCCGUAAACGUUGGGCGCUAGGUGUGGGGUCCUUCCACGACCUCCGUGCCGCAGCUAACGCAUUAAGCGCCCCGCCUGGGGAGUACGGCCGCAAGGCUAAAACUCAAAGGAAUUGACGGGGCCCGCACAAGCGGCGGAGCAUGCGGAUUAAUUCGAUGCAACGCGAAGAACCUUACCAAGGCUUGACAUGCACGGGAAAGUUCCAGAGAUGGUUCCCCCGCAAGGUCCGUGCACAGGUGGUGCAUGGCUGUCGUCAGCUCGUGUCGUGAGAUGUUGGGUUAAG
rnacentral:rRNA from 1 species